rnacentral:rRNA from 1 species
GAUGAACGCUGGCGGCGUGCCUAAUACAUGCAAGUCGAGCGAACAGACGAGGAGCUUGCUCCUCUGACGUUAGCGGCGGACGGGUGAGUAACACGUGGAUAACCUACCUAUAAGACUGGGAUAACUUCGGGAAACCGGAGCUAAUACCGGAUAAUAUAUUGAACCGCAUGGUUCAAUAGUGAAAGACGGUUUUGCUGUCACUUAUAGAUGGAUCCGCGCCGCAUUAGCUAGUUGGUAAGGUAACGGCUUACCAAGGCAACGAUGCGUAGCCGACCUGAGAGAGUGGUCGGCCACACUGGAACUGAGACACGGUCCAGACUCCUACGGGAGGCAGCAGUAGGGAAUCUUACGCAAUGGGCGAAAGCCUGACGGAGCAACGCCGCGUGAGUGAUGAAGGUCUUCGGAUCGUAAAACUCUGUUAUUAGGGAAGAACAAAUGUGUAAGUAACUAUGCACGUCUUGACGGUACCUAAUAAGAAAGCCACGGCUAACUACGUG